rnacentral:lncRNA from 1 species
GAACCACAGUUUGCCAAAUUCUUGCUCGUCUCCCACAACGUGCCAUUUUCCUAACUCUCAACUACUAGUCUAUGUACUAUACUUUUGCCUUCUACAUUCUUCUACCAUGUGUUUAUAAACAAGUGCAGCCCCAAACAUUGAUCUACUCAACACUUGGCGCACCACAAUGGCUCACCACUGGCAUCCCCCACCUCCACCAGACCCCUUUGCACCCCCACCACCUGGACCUCCGGCAACACCUCCACCAGACCCCUUUGCUCCACCACCGCCAGGGCAUCCGGCACCACCUCCGCCAGACCCCUUCGCACCACCUAUGUUUGGGCAGCCUCCACCGCCUAACACUUCUGCACCAGCACCACCUAUUCCGCACAAUCCGCCACCACCUCCUCCAGGUCCAGGAGGACCUCCUCCACCACCCCCAUAUUAGCCUAUAGCAUAAAAUUUUGAUUAGAUUCUCAUAGGAUUGUAACAAUAAAUAAGAGAGUAUAUAUUGUUAUGUUGAAUGUUGGAAGUGCAUGAGAGUGAAAUAAUAAACUUUAUGUUACAAUAAAUGAGUCGGUGGUUGUUCACACCCAAAUUCAAAAUAUAAGAAAUAAAUUUUGUAUUUGAUUUAUGUCAUGUGUUGUUUGGAACGUAACCAACCCUGAUGCAAGUCAGUUUUUAUUUCAUUCCCUUCACUUGUGUAACCUAUCAAAUAUCAAGAAAUUAUUAAAAUAUUUCUUUUGCCUAAUAAAUUAUAUUGUUAUGGGAUAUAUUCAUCUUUUACAUAAUCCUAAUAAAUUUUACUAUUUCAACAGC